AAGGUGCUUAUAAGUGGGAAAAUGUGAUUCCAAAGAGUCCACAAAGAUGCUUGUGUGAUGAGAAGACAAAGGCCAGGCAAAGUUGGCUUUGAGUGUUUUGGACUGGUUUUUGUAAAAAUGCAAAGGAUGAGAUUUUGGAGAAUGAGUGCCAAGGCCUUGUUGCUGUGUGAUGGCUGCAAAAUUUGGUAAUGAUGAUAAGUUGAUGAAUCAAGGCUGCUAUCAGAAGUUGUUUUUGGUUUUGAGUCUUGACAGCAAAUUUGAAAAUGCAAGAAGGUGAGAUUUUUU
rnacentral:lncRNA from 1 species